rnacentral:tRNA from 1 species
GGCGGCUUCGCCUAGAGGCGAUGGCAUCGCGCCGUAAACGCGACGGCUUCGGCCCGCGGGGGUUCGAGUCCCUCAGCCGCCA